UACGUAGGGUGCGAGCGUUGUCCGGAAUUAUUGGGCGUAAAGAGCUCGUAGGCGGUGUGUCGCGUCGGCCGUGAAAACUUGGGGCUUAACUCUGAGCGUGCGGUCGAUACGGGCAUCACUUGAGUUCGGCAGGGGAGACUGGAAUUCCUGGUGUAGCGGUGAAAUGCGCAGAUAUCAGGAGGAACACCGGUGGCGAAGGCGGGUCUCUGGGCCGAUACUGACGCUGAGGACGAAAGCGUGGGGAGCAAACAGG
rnacentral:rRNA from 1 species